rnacentral:lncRNA from 1 species
GGUAGAGAAAUAAUGAGAAACUACAAAGUGUCAUAGUCGAUAGUUACUUGAAGAAAACGCAAAAAGUGGGAAGAAUCUAAUUACUUAGGCAACAAAACUGUAUAUAAGAACAUAUGGAGAGAAAUUAAUUAAGCUAACUAGAAUAUCGCCGAGAGAUGGAUCAUGAUCUUGGUCCUCUUACAGCAAUAAAACAAGAGGCAGCAGCCACAAUGACAGUCGUAGUUAUGAAGCUCAAGUCAUCGAAUAUGGCCGAGAAUCUCAUCUCCUGCAGUUCCCAUAGUGUCGAUAUGCAUUGCUUCACUCCAUCAAUAACCGCCAUCAAAUACCCCAUCUUUAAGUGGAUAGUAUUAAUAUAGAUGAACUUUAUUCGAUUCUCAGCUUGUUAAAAGAUGGAGCUGAUCUAUGGAUUAUUAGAAAACACUGGCUUACGUAUAUAGACUUUAUUCCUACAUUUUCU